GUGGGGAAUAUUGGACAAUGGGCGCAAGCCUGAUCCAGCCAUGCCGCGUGAGUGAUGAAGGCCUUAGGGUUGUAAAGCUCUUUCAGUGGGGACGAUAAUGACGGUACCCACAGAAGAAGCCCCGGCUAACUUCGUGCCAGCAGCCGCGGUAAUACGAAGGGGGCUAGCGUUGUUCGGAUUUACUGGGCGUAAAGCGCACGUAGGCGGAUCGUUAAGUCGGGGGUGAAAUCCUGGAGCUCAACUCCAGAACUGCCGUCGAUACUGGCGAUCUUGAGUCCGGAAGAGGUGAGUGGAACUCCUAGUGUAGAGGUGGAAUUCGUAGAUAUUAGGAAGAACACCAGUGGCGAAGGCGGCUCACUGGUCCGGUACUGACGCUGAGGUGCGAAAGCGUGGGGAGCAAACGGGAUUAGAAACCCGAGUAGUCC
rnacentral:rRNA from 1 species